rnacentral:lncRNA from 1 species
CAUGAACAAGUGCCCCCACACCCGUUCACUUGGGCAGGCAAGAAUUCUGCCACCGGACAACCGACGCCCGGCCACUUUGGAAUGCGCUUUCACACCCUCUCAGCCCCUCGGAGGAAAGAGCCUUCUGGGAGCUCUCUGCAUUUGAGGUGUGGCACAGUCACCGUCACCAGGGACGUAACGGGAUCACAACGGUCCUGGUCCAAUUCUCCCUCCAGAGAGCGCCUCAUCAGGGACGCUGGCCUAAAUCCAUGCACAGAUGGGGGUUGGACAAUCAGCCAUUCUGCCGCGUUCACCCCUGGAAUGUCUUCUUCAGCCCUGGAGAGUCAGGUCCUCGGAGUUUGAGGGAAAAGGCCCUUGUCUUCUACCGUACUGGGGCUUGGCCAGGGUACCCGCUAUCAAGGAAGACGGUGUGCAUGUGUGUGUGUCAGCGGGAACUACAAUACCAUAGGCCAAUUAGAAUCACUUUGCAAAAAGGAGAAGGAUGGGCUG